CAACAGAAAUUCUGGAAUAGAAUGCUACAAAAACUGAGUUAAAAAAUUUGCAAGGCUGGUUCUGUGGUGACUUUAUGCCAAUAAUCCCAGGACUUGGCAAGGCUGAGGCAGGAGGAUUGCUGAAGCCAACCAAGAGUUUGAGAGUAGUCUAGACAACAAAGAAGACCACAUCUCUACAAAAACACUAUUGCAUGUGGCAACAUGUGCCCAGCUCCUCUGAAGAGGGAAGAUCCCUCAGCCCAGGAGGUCAAGGUUGCAUUGAGCUAUUAUUGCACCACUACAUUCAAGCUUGGGUGAUAGAGUCCAAGAUCCUGUCAAAAAAAAAAAGAAAGAGAAAGAAGAAAAAGGAAAGGAAAGGAAAGGAAAAAGGGAGGAAGGAAGGAAGGAAAGAGGAAGGAAGGAAGGAAGGAGGGCGAGAAAGAGGGAGAAAGAGAAGGAAGGAAGGAAGAAGGAAAGAAGAGGGAAGGAAGGAAGGAAGGAUAAAGAUAGAAAGGAAAGAAAAAGAAAAAGAGAGAAAGAAAGAGAAAAGAAAGAAAGAAAGGGAGGGAGGUAGGGAAGAAAGAGAGAAAGGAAGAAGAAAGAAAGAAAGAAGAGAGAAAGAGAAAGAAAAAGAAAGAAAGAAAGAGAGAGAGAGAAAGGAAGGAGGGAAGGAAAGAAGGAAAGAAAGAAAGAGGGAGGGACAGAGGGAAGAAAGAGAGAGAGACAGGAAGAAGAAGAAAGAAAAGAAAGAAAGAAAGAAAGAAAGAAAGAAAGAAAGAAAGAAAGAAAGAAAGAAAGAAAGAAAGAAAGAAAGAAAGAAAGAAAGGAAGGAAGGAAGGAAGGAAGGAAGGAAGGAAGGGAAGGAAGGAAGAGAGAGAGAGAGAGAAAGGAAGGAAGGAAGGAAGAAGGAAAGAGAAAGAGAAAGAAAGGAAGGAAGGAAGGAAGGAAGGAAGGAAGGAAAGGAAGGAGAGAGAAAGAAAGAAAGAGGAGUUUAACAAUAAAAUUUAAUCAGAAUAAAUAAAAAAUACUGAACUCGGAAAGAGAAUACAUCUGAAAUUGUCAAGUUAGAGGGGAAAUGGAAAAUAAA
rnacentral:lncRNA from 1 species